rnacentral:rRNA from 1 species
UACGUAGGGGGCAAGCGUUGUCCGGAAUCAUUGGGCGUAAAGAGCGUGUAGGCGGCUCGAUAAGUCUGAUGUGAAAGCCCACGGCUCAACCGUGGAAGGUCAUUGGAAACUGAAAGGCUUGAGUACAGAAGAGGAAAGCGGAAUUCCACGUGUAGCGGUGAAAUGCGUAGAGAUGUGGAGGAACACCAGUGGCGAAGGCGGCUUUCUGGUCUGUAACUGACGCUGAGGCGCGAAAGCGUGGGGAGCAAACAGG